rnacentral:rRNA from 1 species
UACGUAGGGUGCAAGCGUUGUCCGGAAUUAUUGGGCGUAAAGAGCUCGUAGGCGGUUUGUCGCGUCGGCUGUGAAAACCCGGGGCUCAACCCCGGGCCUGCAGUCGAUACGGGCAAACUAGAGUGUGGUAGAGGAGACUGGAAUUCCUGGUGUAGCGGUGAAAUGCGCAGAUAUCAGGAGGAACACCGGUGGCGAAGGCGGGUCUCUGGGCCAUAACUGACGCUGAGGAGCGAAAGCGUGGGGAGCGAACAGG